AAAGGAUACAUACAAGUGAAAAGCAACAUCUUCAACACUAUAUCGACACCAUCUCCAUUCCCUUUGCGUCCCGAGAGAGAGAGGGAGAAAGUAAUCGGCGAUCAUCCACGAGAUGGUGAAUUCAGUAUUUGAAAAUGGCACAUUUUGUGGGCACAGUCCACUCCUACUGAUGUUUAUAAGCUCGAUGAGAAAGAGGUAUUCUAUGCCAAACUUGCAUCCAUGGCAGACAGAUGUCGCCGGCUAGACAUUUGCAUCAUACUGGCCAAUAAUUUCUGGCUGUGAACGAGCUGGAUAUGAGAUGUCUGUUGGUCGUCAUGGGAGCUGGAUCAUCGGGUACAGUUGGCAGGACCAUGUGUCCAACUGACGGAUACGCUGUUAGCCUGGCAUCGGACCUGUUACUUGCAUAAUCUGGGAUUGCCAACUCAGGCUAUGUGGGCACCUAGCUCAUUUCCCUGUGGAUAACCCUACCCAUCAGGUUUCCUCUUUGCAAGACCAUCCUGGGUGGAGGAGGCCGGUUGGACGAUGUAGGGGGUCAUGGCUUGAUCAGCUUGACCAGACCUGUCACAAGGAGCUAGAUAGAGAAGGGCCAAGAGCCUGCCUAGAGGUUUGCCAUGAGGGACCCCAUGGGUGGAAGUGAAGGGUGGAUGUGGUCAUGCACCCUGUCGGCGUUAAUCCCCAGUGAGGAUGACAGAGGGAAACUAUAGUGGUUCUUUGUGAUUUGAAGCUCGAUGGAUUCCAGACGAUGUGAAGUCUUCAUUCCUUGAAGUGGCAGUUUGAUCCAGAAGUGUAGAUGUAUGGAUUGAGGCUACUCGUAUUGAAGAUCUGACUGCUUGUGACCAUCUGAGGUGGCUGUGGACUGGAAAUUGCAGUGUUGGACUUGCAUAUUGGGACUACCUUCUGUUGCUACUCAAGUAUUUCAUUCAAAAUAAAAGAUGUGUGUGACUGAUAUCAAAUGCCUUCAUGAUGGUUUUGGAUGCUGUGACUGCUAGACCUUCCUACCUGUCACUGAGAAUUUAACCUCUGGGAGGUAGACAAUUGUGUUCAUUUGAUGUGAUAAUAAAAGAAUAAAGUGCUAAUAGUG